rnacentral:ncRNA from 1 species
UUAGCGGAUGCCGAAAAGCUAUUCAAAGAGUAGGCA